rnacentral:rRNA from 51 species
UUAAAUUGAAGAGUUUGAUCAUGGCUCAGAUUGAACGCUGGCGGCAGGCCUAACACAUGCAAGUCGAACGGUAACAGGAAGCAGCUUGCUGCUUCGCUGACGAGUGGCGGAC